UACGGGGGGGGCAAGCGUUGUUCGGAAUUACUGGGCGUAAAGGGCUCGUAGGCGGCCAACUAAGUCAGACGUGAAAUCCCUCGGCUUAACCGGGGAACUGCGUCUGAUACUGGAUGGCUUGAAUCCGGGAGAGGGAUGCGGAAUUCCAGGUGUAGCGGUGAAAUGCGUAGAUAUCAGGAGGAACACCGGUGGCGAAGGCGGGUCUCUGGGCCGUAACUGACGCUGAGGAGCGAAAGCGUGGGGAGCGAACAGG
rnacentral:rRNA from 1 species